GAACAAAGUCAUAUUCAUGUACAAAUUGAGAAUGGUGGAAGAUUAGCAUGACCCCUGCACAAGGAUGCCAUGCACAAAUCGAGAAAUGGUCUAAAUUUUU
rnacentral:snRNA from 1 species